rnacentral:rRNA from 1 species
GACGAACGCUGGCGGCGUGCUUAACACAUGCAAGUCGAACGGUGAAGCUCCAGCUUGCUGGAGUGGAUCAGUGGCGAACGGGUGAGUAACACGUGAGCAACCUGCCCCAGACUCUGGAAUAAGCGCUGGAAACGGCGUCUAAUACUGGAUACGAGAUCAAGCAGCAUGGUUAUGGUCUGGAAAGUUGUGCGGUGUGGGAUGGGCUCGCGGCCUAUCAGCUUGUUGGUGAGGUAAUGGCUCACCAAGGCGACGACGGGUAGCCGGCCUGAGAGGGCGACCGGCCACACUGGGACUGAGACACGGCGCAGACUCCUACGGGAGGCAGCAGUGGAGAAUAUUGCACAAUGAGCGAAAGCCUGAUACAGCGACGCCGCGUGAGGGAUGACGGCCUUCGGGUUGUAAACCUCUUUCAGCAGAGAAAAAGCGAAAGUGACGGUACCUACAGAAGAAGCACCGGCUAACUACGUG